AUUGCCGAUUUGACCCCUCAUGCAGAGGGGUUUUGUUGUUUUGUUUGGGGGACCAUAAUUUAUGGUCCUCAAUGUGCUUGAGUUUCGGGAGCAGAAGGAGAAGAAGAAAAAGAAAAGAAGGAGAAGAAAGAAAAAGAAGGGGAGGAGGAGGAGAAGAAGGAGGCCGACACUUGAGAGAAGAAAAAAGAAAAAAAAAAAGAGAAGGAGAAGAAGAGGGAAGGAAAAAGAAGGAAAAAAAAAAAA
rnacentral:lncRNA from 1 species